rnacentral:lncRNA from 1 species
AUGCCGUCAGACAUGGCUCAUGAACAUGGACGUAGUAAAAUGGAACUUCCAGAUUAUAAACAAUGGAAGAUAGAAGGGACACCAUUAGAAACUGUCAAGAAGAAGUUGGCUGCGCAAGGGCUAAGGGAUCCAUGGGGUCAAGGUGAAGCUUGGAGAUACAUGGGUGGCUUUGCAAAUAGUGGUUCCUUUAUUGGUGCAUUAUUAAAAGGAUUCAAGUGGGGAUUUGCUGCAUUUGUGGGAGCUGUAGGAGCUGAAUAUUAUCUGGAGUCCCUGAAUAAAGAUAAGAAGCAUCACUGA